GACGUAGGUGGCGAACGUUAUCCGGAAUUAUUGGGCGUAAAGGCUGCGUAGAUGGUGUAGUAAGUUAUCGGUGGCAAAUCGAGGCUCAACCUCGUGGAAGUCGGUAAUACUGCUAUGCUAGAGGAUAGGAGAGGUUAACGGAACUCCCUGUGGAGCGGUGAAAUGCGUAGAUAUAGGGAAGAACACCAAUCAGGCGAAGGCAGUUAACUAUUCUAUUCCUGACAUUGAGGCAUGAAAGCGUGGGGAGCAAAACGG
rnacentral:rRNA from 1 species